rnacentral:lncRNA from 1 species
CGGGAAGGGCCGGCCCCCAUCCGCACCCCCGACCCCCGAGGUCAACAACAGGAUGGUCCCUGGGUCCCAGGGGAAGAGACAUCACCCAGUAGGAGGGAGCACGGUCUAGACAGAGGCCACGAGGGCGGGAGGGGGCGAGAGUGGAGAGUGGCCCAGCUGGCCAGGGUCGUCUAAGUGAGAGGAAAAGGGAGAGGGCGGUUGAGACCAGGCCCUGAAUUCCGCGUUCAUCUUAUCCUGAGGUCUGUGGGGACCUGUUGAAGGACUGGGGCAGGGGACGGACGCGGGCAUCCUUCCAUGUGGAACAGCCAUUCCGGCAGCAUCAGGAUGGGGCGGAGGCAAAGCGGGGAGUGGGCGAGGUAUUUAGUGCCGAGUGUGGCCUUGGUGCUAGGAUUCAAAGAGGAAAGGAAGAAAACUUUCCAUUCUAAAAGAAACUCUACGUAUGGCGAAGAAGAUGAAAUAUAGUCAGAAAACCAUACCAGUAGGUGGUAGUUAAGUUGAUAAAUGAUGCAUACAACAUCCUAUAGAAGACUGUCACCACCCCACCUCACUGAUCAGCCCUCUGCCUACAGCCACACCCACAGAACAUUCAGCCAUUUCUCCUGUGGUUCCCAGCCUGCAGCACAGCGUCUGCACGUGGUGAGGGCUCCCAAAUCUCUGAGGAAUGAAUGGCUCACUGCUGAGAGCAACCUUCUGGGAGUUCAGGGCAUGUGGAACUGGAAUAAGAGCAACGUGUGAACAGAUUACAGGAAGGCAAUGCAGGACAGCUGGACCCUUUGCGGGGAAACUUAUGGGGAACACAGUUUUCUCACUUACAAGCACUGAGAUUGCCUGAGAGGGGAGAGAUGAUGCAGAGUGUCCCAAAUGUAUUUGACGUGGAAUCCUUUUACCAGCGAAACAUCUCUUGGGCCUAGAGUUCUGAAAAUUGCACUUUGUAAAACACUGCUCUCAGCUCUUACAAACCUCAUGUUUUCAUCCUAACUGUGCUUCAGAGAAUUGUGUCCCAGCAGGAAAGGAAACCCCCAUAUAAUUCCCUACGUUGCUAGCAUUUGGAAGUGGGAUGAAAAUGGACCUACAUUCAAACCCCUAAUUUCAA